GAUGAACGCUGGCGGCGUGCCUAAUACAUGCAAGUCGAGCGAACAGACGAGGAGAUUGCUCCUCUGACGUUAGCGGGGGACGGGCGAGUAACACGUGCAUAACCUACCUAUAAGACUGGGAUGACUUCGGGAAACCGGAGCUAAUACUGGAUAAUAUAUUGAACCGCAUGGUUCAAUAGUGAAAGACGGUUUUGCUGUCACUUAUAGAUGGAUCCGCGUCGCAUUAGCUAGUUGGUAAGGUAACGGCUUACCAAGGCAACGAUGCGUAGCCGACCUGAGAGGGUGAUCAGCCACACUGGAACUGAGACACGGUCCAGACUCCUACGGGAGGCAGCAGUGGGGAAUCUUGCGCAAUGGGCGAAAGCCUGACGCAGCAACGCCGCGUGGGUGAUGAAGGUCUUCGGAUCGUAAAACUCUGUUAUUAGGGAAGAACAAAUGUGUAAGAAUCUAUGCACGUCUUGACGGUACCUAAUGAGAAAGCCACGGCUAACUACGUG
rnacentral:rRNA from 1 species